rnacentral:rRNA from 1 species
AUUUGAAAUCUGGGUCUUUCAGGCUCCGAGUUGUAAUUUGUAGAAGAUGCUUCGGGCGCGGCUCCGGUCUAAGUCCCUUGGAACAGGGCGUCGUAGAGGGUGAGAAUCCCGUAUGUGACCGGCUGCCUGUGCCCGUGUGAAGCUCUUUCGACGAGUCGAGUUGUUUGGGAAUGCAGCUCUAAAUGGGUGGUAAAUUUCAUCUAAAGCUAAAUAUUGGCCAGAGACCGAUAGCGCACAAGUAGAGUGAUCGAAAGAUGAAAAGCACUUUGGAAAGAGAGUUAAACAGUACGUGAAAUUGUUGAAAGGGAAGCGCUUGCAACCAGACUUGCGCGGGGUCGAUCAUCCGGGGUUCUCCCCGGUGCACUCGGCCUCGCUCAGGCCAGCAUCGGUUUCGGUGGUUGGAUAAAGGCCCUGGGAAUGUAGCUUCUUUCGGGGAGUGUUAUAGCCCUCGGUGCAAUGCAGCCCACCGGGACCGAGGACCGCGCUUCGGCUAGGAUGCUGGCGUAAUGGUUGUAAGCGACCCGUCUUGAAACACGGACCAAGGAGUCUAACAUCUAUGCGAGUGUUUGGGUGUCAAACCCAUACGCGGAAUGAAAGUGAACGGAGGUGAGAACCCUUAAGGGUGCAUCAUCGACCGAUCCUGAUGUCUUCGGAUGGAUUUGAGUAAGAGCAUAGCUGUUGGGACCCGAAAGAUGGUGAACUAUGCCUGAAUAGGGUGAAGCCAGAGGAAACUCUGGUGGAGGCUCGCAGCGGUUCUGACGUGCAAAUCGAUCGUCAAAUUUGGGUAUAGGGGCGAAAGACUAAUCGAACCAUCUAGUAG